CUAACAAAUAUACCACAAAGAAUUCAGCAAAACCAGAACUACUGAUUUCUGCAGAGCCUGCAGAUGCGUACGCAACAGCUCUUUAUCAAGUAAAUAAACAUGCACUUCAUGCAGAUGGAAACAUGGUUAAGCAGGGUUUCCCGCAGCACUUUGCAGCUAAGGCAGCCGCCUUAGCAACACACGCCUGCCGCCUUGACAACGUUGUCAAAAAAAAAAGAAAA